CCUACGGGGGGCUGCAGUGGGGAAUAUUGGACAAUGGGCGAAAGCCUGAUCCAGCCAUGCCGCGUGUGUGAAGAAGGCCUUCGGGUUGUAAAGCACUUUCAGUGGGGAAGAAAGCCUUGGGGCUAAUACCCUCGAGGAAGGACAUCACCCACAGAAGAAGCACCGGCUAACUCCGUGCCAGCAGCCGCGGUAAUACGGAGGGUGCGAGCGUUAAUCGGAAUUACUGGGCGUAAAGCGCGCGUAGGCGGUCUGAUAAGCCGGCUGUGAAAGCCCCGGGCUCAACCUGGGAACGGCAUCCGGAACUGUCAGGCUAGAGUGCAGGAGAGGAAGGUAGAAUUCCCGGUGUAGCGGUGAAAUGCGUAGAGAUCGGGAGGAAUACCAGUGGCGAAGGCGGCCUUCUGGACUGACACUGACGCUGAGGUGCGAAAGCGUGGGUAGCAAACAGGAUUAGAUACCCCUGUAGUC
rnacentral:rRNA from 1 species